CUACGGGGGGCUCCAGUGGGGAAUAUUGCACAAUGGAGGAAACUCUGAUGCAGCAACGCCGCGUGGAGGAUGACACUUUUUGGAGCGUAAACUCCUUUUAUAUAGGAAGAAGAUGACGGUACUAUAUGAAUAAGCGCCGGCUAACUCCGUGCCAGCAGCCGCGGUAAUACGGAGGGCGCAAGCGUUACUCGGAAUCACUGGGCGUAAAGAGCGUGUAGGCGGAUUAAAAAGUCAGAAGUGAAAUCCUAUAGCUUAACUAUAGAACUGCUUCUGAAACUCUUAAUCUAGAAUAUGGGAGAGGUAGAUGGAAUUUCUGGUGUAGGGGUAAAAUCCGUAGAGAUCAGAAGGAAUACCGAUUGCGAAGGCGAUCUACUAGAACAUUAUUGACGCUGAGACGCGAAAGCGUGGGGAGCAAACAGGAUUAGAUACCCGAGUAGUC
rnacentral:rRNA from 1 species